UGAGUGGGCAAGACGAUCGCUGGUGGGCCUUUAGGCAAACUGGAGGAAAGUCCGGGCUCCGCAGGAUAGGAUGGUCGAUAACGUCGACCGGCCGCGAGGCUAGGGAAAGUGCAGCAGAGAACAGACCGCCGAACGGUCAGACGCGGUCGUCACACGACGACCAACUUUGACGCGUGGUAAGGGUGAAACGGUGCGGUAAGAGCGCACCAGCAGCCGAGGUGACUCGACUGGCUUGGUAAACCCCAUCCGGAGCUAGACCAAACAGAGUGCAGUGGUGCGAAUCUUUCGAGGUUCGCAUUCCGCGAAGCGAUCCGCUUCGUUUUCGACAUUCGGGUAGGUCGCAAUUGAGGCGACGAGCAAUCGUCGUGCACAGAUAAAUGGUCGUCGGCGCAUGCCAUGCAUGUCGUCACAGAACCCGGCUUACUAACCCGCUCACGGC
rnacentral:RNase_P_RNA from 2 species